GAUAAAUAUAACGUUCUUUGCCCUGACCCUGUGGAUCCUGAGAAACAAACUCUCCUCCCUCAAUGCAGAUGUGUCCACCCUCAGAGACCACAGGUUACUGACCUUUAAAGCCAUCGCCCAGCUCUUCCUUCUGGGCUGCACAUGGAGCCUUGGUCUCCUCCAAGUUGGCCCAGCAACCAUGGUCAUGGCGUAUUUAUUCACCAUCGUCAACAGCCUGCAGGGAGCCUUCAUCUUCCUGGUGCACUGUCUCCUCAAUCGCCAGGUGAGAGAGGAGUACAGGAGAUGGAUCAAGGGAUUCCGAAUGUUCUGCACGAAAUCUCAGUCAUUCGAUAUAUCCAUGUCUACUGUCCCCACCACCAGCACCAAGACGG